rnacentral:tRNA from 3 species
GGGGUUGUAGCUCAGUCGGCUAGAGCGCAGCAUUCACAUUGCUGAGGUCGGGGGUUCAAGUCCCUCCAGCCCCACCA